AUUGAACGCUGGCGGCAGGCUUAACACAUGCAAGUCGAGCGGGGACUUCGGUCCUAGCGGCGAACGGGUGAGGAAUGCCUAGGAAUCUGCCUGGUAGUGGGGGACAGCGUUUCGAAAGGAGCGCUAAUACCGCAUACGUCCUACGGGAGAAAGCAGGGGACCUUCGGGCCUUGCGCUAUCAGAUGAGCCUAGGUCGGAUUAGCUAGUUGGUGAGGUAAUGGCUCACCAAGGCGACGAUCCGUAACUGGUCUGAGAGGAUGAUCAGUCACACUGGAACUGAGACACGGUCCAGACUCCUACGGGAGGCAGCAGUGGGGAAUAUUGGACAAUGGGCGAAAGCCUGAUCCAGCCAUGCCGCGUGUGUGAAGAAGGUCUUCGGAUUGUAAAGCACUUUAAGUUGGGAGGAAGGGUUGUAGAUUAAUACUCUGCAAUUUUGACGUUACCGACAGAAUAAGCACCGGCUAACUCUGUGCCAGCCGCCGCGGUAAAAC
rnacentral:rRNA from 1 species